UGGUGGAGUGAUUUGUCUGGUUAAUUCCGUUAACGAACGAGACCUCAGCCUGCUAACUAGUCACACGAAUACCUCUGGUAUUCGUGGCUGUACUUCUUAGAGGGACUACCAUGGUCGCACAUGGUGGAAGUUUGAGGCAAUAACA
rnacentral:rRNA from 1 species